rfam:Gasterosteus aculeatus cont1.006049, whole genome shotgun sequence.
CCGACCUCGGUAGCAUAUGCUUGUCUCAAAGAUUAAGCCAUGCAAGUCUUCCCUUUUUGUCCAAAAGUCUUGAACGUGCUAUCUUUAACCAACUUUCCUCCUAUCUCUACCAUAACAACCUCCUUCACCCCCACCAGUCAGGCUUCAAGACAGGCCAUUCCACAGAGACUGCUCUCCUUGCUGUCUCAGAGCAGCUCCACACUGCUAGAGCCGCCCCUCUGUCCUCAUCCUUCUGGACCUUUCUGCUGCAUUUGACACCGUAAACCACCAAAUCCUUAUUUGCUCCCUUCAGGAACUUUGUGUCACAGGCUCUGCUCUCUCCCUUCUCUCGUCCUACCUUACCGCACCUGGCGGCCGUAACCUGGCGAGGUCCUCUUACUACUGGACUAGUUACUAGAGGUUCUGUCCUCAGCCCCCUCCUCUUCUCGCUCUACACCAACUCUCUCGGCUCUGUCAUUUGCUCGCAUGGCUUCUCCUACCACAGCUAUGCCACCCAACUAAUUCUCUCCUUUCCUCACUCGGACACUCACGUCCCUUUGGUGACUCUGGAUAACCACGAGCCGAUCGCUGGCCCCCCGUGGCGGUGAAGUCUCAAUCGAAUGUCUGCCCUAUCAACUUUCGAUGGUACUUUAUGUUCCUACUAUGGUGACAAUGGGUAAUGGGAAAUAAGGGUUUGAUUCCGGAGAGGGAGCCUGAGAAAUGGCUACCACAUCCAAGGAAGGCAGUCGGCACGCAAAUUACCCACUCCUGACUCAUGGAGGUAAUGACGAAAAAUCUAUUGAGUCCCUGUAAUUGGAAUGGGUGCACUUUAAAUCCUCAAAUCAAGGAUCCAUUGGAGGGGCAAGUCUGGUGCCAGCAGCCACGGUAAUUCCAGCUCCAAUAGCGUGUAUU